rnacentral:rRNA from 1 species
GGAGUAUGAACCGUAUCUCAGUUCCAUUGUGGCUGUUCAUCCUCUCAGACCAGCUACUGAUCGUCGCCUUGGUAAGCCUUUACCUCACCAACCAGCUAAUCAGACGCAGAUUCCUCUCUUCGCGAUAAAUCUUUAAUCGUUAAGCCAUGCGACUCAACGAUAACAUCCGGAAUUAGCAUCUCUUUCGAGAUGUUAUGCCGGACGAAGAGGCGGAUUAUCUACGCGUUACUCACCCGUUUGCCACUAACAUCCGAAGAUGUCCGUUCGACUUGCAUGUGUUAGGCACGCCGCCAGCGUUUGUC